rnacentral:tRNA from 1 species
GCCGAUUUAGUUCAAUUGGUAGAACGUAAGUUUUGUAAGCUUAAAGUUGUUGGUUCAAGUCCGACAAUCGGCA